GGUGUUGUGGCUCAGCAGUAGAGCGCUCAUCUAGCAUGUGUGAGGCCCAGGUUCCAUCCUCAGCACCA
rnacentral:tRNA from 1 species